CGAUUUUUAGUUCGAAUCGAAAUCGUAGUCGAAGGUCGAAGUAGCCACAAAAAAAAACAUUCGAAAUUCAAAGUUUUUUUCCUCUGUUCCUUCACUCGAGCUAAGUAAAUGGGCCCCUUAGAUCACACUUAACACUCGCUGUGCAGUCACAGACUUAUUGAGGUUUCAAACGAAAGGUUUUCACCAGGAUUAUCCCGAGUGCUGGGGUGUGUGAGUUUUCGUUGGAAUGUUUCAAACCAAGAACUCAAAGCCUGAUCAGAAUUUACCUGAUUAACUCCUCCCCCUUAAUUAGCAGAAAGAGGCAACUUGUUACCUGCAGUAAAAUAACAGCCCCUUGUUAACAUUAAAAAAAAAAAUUCCCUUUAGAAUGCAAGGGUAGCUUUUAACCAUAGGGCCAAUGGGGAACCUGCCCAGAGCCCACUGAUUGGGGGAGCUCACUGUUCCAUUGCUAUCGCUCCUACUGCCCUACUUACCCCCAACGCACUUCUGUUCUCCCCACAUGGCCAUCUUGGAUUUUUGUGCAGAUUAUGGAGCAGGAGAGAGUUCCAAGCAGCUGUGGGAGCACAAGAAGAGACGGAAACUUUGCUACUGGGAUACUACAAGUGUAAUGUUUUCAAUCUAUCUACUGUAUGGAGUUACUGGAAUGCGUAUUGGCCAGUUCUGUAGUGAUUAUACCGGCACAGCUGGGUGGAACUACAAGGACAAGUACCGCCGGGGACUUUCUGCUGCCAGAGGUAGUUUAUUAAAGAAGAUUCAUGGCUUUUAUUCACUUCCAUAUGGGCAGACAAUCAUGAUCCACCAUGUCUGGCUUCUUGUAUUUAUAUAAAGAUUCUGUUGUUGGCACAUCCCAGACAGAGAGAGGGAGAUGGAGGGAGGGGAAGUAGAGCAGGAAAGAUCCUCCAAACAUAAGGCAAAUAUAUAGGGCCCCAUUAUACUUAUAAAUUCAUGUUGUGCAAUAUAAACUAAAUCUAAAGUUUAAUUGUUCCUAUCUUUCUCUAUUGUCUCUAUCUUACUCUGUCUCCAUCUUGCCCUAGAGUUUGUCUUGUCCUACUGUCUCCAUCUUGCCCUACUGUCUCUGUUUUGCCCAGCUGUCUCCAUCUUCUCCUAUUGUCUCCAUCUUGUCCCGCUGUCUCCGUCUUGUCCUGCUGUCUCCAGCUUGCCCUAUUGUCUUAAUUUUGCCCAACUGUCUCCGUCUUUCCCUGUUGUUUCCAUUUUGCCCUGCUGAGUUCAUCUUGGCCUAGUGUCUCCAUCUUGGCCUAGUGUCUCCAUCUUGGCCUAGUGUCUCCAUCUUGGCCUAGUGUCUCCAUCUUGGCCUAGUGUCUCCAUCUUGGCCUACUGUCUCCAUCUUGGCCUACUGUCUCCAUCUUGGCCUACUGUCUGCAUUUUGUCCUACUGUCUCCAUAUUGCCCGUUUCCAUCUUGCCCUGCUGUCUCAACUUGUCCUGCUGUCUCCAUCUUGCCUUACUCUGUUUAUCUUGUCCUAGGUGGAUGUAGUGUGGGGUUUGGAUGGGUCAGAGGGACAUAGAUUCCCAUGUUUGUAACCUCAAAAUAUAGCCCUGGUAAAGAUGGAUUAGGCUGAGUUGUGACUGCAUUGCUGACUGUUUGAGCUGUUAAACUUAAUUCACUUGGAUGGACUACCCCUGUGGCAAGUGGUAAGUGCCCAUGUCUUGCAGCUCCUGGCACUUUAUAGCCUGUGUGUGUGAAUGACACAUAAGCCAGAGUGGGGUCCAGGGAGCACCCAUGUGCUGAAUCCACUUACUCUCUGCAACUCUGAAUUGAGUGCAAGGUGCAGUUCUUCAUUCCAGUCUCAGGGUGGAGGUGGCAAUGGCACCUUUUUGCCCCUAUAUGUUGUAAAUGAGACCUUCACUAUCUUGGAUAUAAAAUGAUUGACCUAAUCAUGUGGAAUUUUUGAAAAAUUGUGGCUUGCUCCAACUAGAUGGCGACAAGGGCAUGGCAAGGUCAGAGGAGAUGAGAGGAUUUCGGCACAGCCUGGGAAAGUAAGUGGGUGCAGGAUGAUAAGGCAAGAAGAAGAGAAAAAUCUUUGUACAGAGAAGGUUCCAGGAUGGAGGCACUGGCAAAGGAAGAGACAUGAAGAAAUGUCGGGCAGAGAAGAGUGAGGCACAAGAGGCAAAUAUAGGCAGGGGAAUAUUAGGGAAAGGAGGAAACAAAGACAAUAGGGCUCAAUGGAGCAGUUGCGAUUUUAUUAUGCUGCAUUGUGGGUAAAAAAACAGCGACAGAAUUACUCUUGUACACUGACCUUGUAGGGCUCGUACAUGAACUCUAACAUCAAGGAGGACAGAGACCACAUUAAAGAGAAUUUAGACAGGUGAUACCUGUGUUCAAUAUGGACGGAGACAAUUCCUUUGAGAAGACAAUUUAGAGACAAUUUCAGGGAGGUGGGUACAAUGGCAGGUUAAGAUGGCGGAAGGGGGGGGGGGGGUAGAGGCAGAAUAAUGAGAAAGAUGAGCCAAUAACAGAACAGCAGCACUAGGAAGAGAAUCAUUGUGGCCCAGCGAGCUGCACGGGAACAGGACUAUCCCUGGGAAAUGAAUGUGACAAUGUCUGAUUGCACCCCCAAAACUCAGUGCUAGGAGGGCCCCAUUACCAGGGGAUCCAGUCACAGCAGCAGAGGAUACCAGGAUAUUCGACCAAUCAAAUCAAUCCAAAAAGAUCAUAGGUACGAGCCCUCCCACAGAUCAGUAAAGUGAUGGGUUUUAUGUUUAUGUUUUUAAUUGGUUUCCAAAACAAAUACUUAUUCCCCAAUUAUCCAAAGCCAAGUGUGAGUCCGUGCAUUAUGGGUCGAUGGCGGUCGCACCAUCAGUACCGCCGACUGGAAUGUAAGAAGUUAAAUCUCUCAGAAAUUGAGCAAUUUCUCCGUUCAAUAUGCAAAAAUACCAGCUGCUCUAGCGACGGAAACAUGACAUUUUUAUAUAGAACUCUUCAGGAAAAACGUAGAAUUCAAAAAAUAAAAUCAGUGAAUUUCAAUAAAAUCAUCAUCUUUUUGGUAAAUAUUCUCUGCAGAUUAGAAAGUUUCACAGCUUAAUGACAAAUCCUAAAAAUAAAGCACUCGUUAAUCAUCGUCUGUAACAUUUGCAUAUCUGGAAAGAUCCGUUCGUUUCAUUAGACAUAAAAUAUUUCUCUCACAAAAUCUUUCAAGUCUCCCUCUGAUCAGAACCCGGAGCGUUACUCCCCCCGAGACGCCUCUAGAAUUUCCAGGAGAAACAACAACAACAAAAAAAAUAAUCCUUUUGAAAAUGUUUCCCCCCCCCCCCA